rnacentral:rRNA from 1 species
CAAGGUUCCGUAGGUGAACUGCGGAAGGAUCAU